UCUACCAACCCAGGGGCUACCUCACUAGCACUGGGGAUACAGGGAGCCGAUCUGAAUUCAUUCUCCUGGUCUUUAGAGAGUGGAAUUCCACUGUUCUUCAGGAAACAUUAGUGUCAUUGAUGUGUCAUUGGGAUGUUAUUCUUUCUUUUUCAUGAAUGGUUUCCUUCAGUUCAGGAAGAGUUGGCUAAUUCCCUCAGAGGGAGGUUGUGGAGCCUUUGGAAUUCAGUAGAGUCCAGGGCCCAUCUUUGAGGAACAAAGGAUGACAGCAUGAAUGCCAAUGUCAUGCAUUUCUGACAGACAGGACCAUGAUGGGACAGAUAAGAGAACAAAGCUGCAUAUAAAUAAUAGACCUUACCAUCUUGGCUGAUUUUUUGAUACUUGAGAAAAUAUUACCAUUUUCAAGUUGGGUUGACACAGUAUGUAAAGCAGCAGUCUCCCUCCAGCUCACACUGAGUUAGCUACUAGAGAGGGGCUCCAUCCAGGGGCACCUGUGUCCACUACAAGACCCAGUCCCUUUCCCAUCCCUGCUGUCCAUUAAAACGGGUGCAGUCGAGCAUCACUGGCUAUCUGAUCAAGGCCUGGUCAGCUACUCCGGGACGACUGGUUCAAACUGAGCCAUUGCCUGAGGACAGGGAUGCCAGAGCCAGGAGAAGGAGCCCCUCCUGUGUUGCGAUGACUCCCAAGGGAGGUGUAGAACAUUUCGGAGGAGUGGUCUGAGAAGGAAGACUUUGGGGCCCGAUAAGGAAAGAACAUGGAUCUUCAGCCCUUCAGUUGCAGUUUCACUUGAAGGUAGCCCAAACCCUGAGUAAAGAGAAUUUCCACAAAUUUGGUCUUAGAAGAUAGAAGAAAGAGGCUGGUAAGGGAUGGGUUAAACAGGACAUCACGUCACUAGCUACAUUGUUAGCUGAUUGCAACCAAAAGAAACCAAUUGAGCUAACUUCAGCAAACCAGGAUUGUGGUGGGAGGGGGGAGAGGCUCACAGGAAGGACCAAGGCACAGAAAGGCCAGGAGCCAGGGCCACUACAGAUCUGCAUGCACUUGGCUGUUUCCAGUCUCAGACCACCCAGUUUAAGACUCACAGCUGAGGAGAAGGCAUGCGAUUUGGCUAGCUUGUCAUGGGAUUGACAGGGCCACCAAGGCUGCAAGCAAUGGGUGUGGGACAGCUCCCCAAAGAGUAUUGGAGAGAAGUUUCCAGAAAAAGGGUAUGCUGGGCAAAAAGAACAACAGGUCUUCUACCGCAUCCCAACCCCUCCUCCCCAUACCCACAGACGCCUCCCUCCCUCUCAACCUCUCUCUCCUCUCGCCUUCAGGUUUGUCUAAUAUACGAGAAAAGCAGUCUUCCUUCCAUUGAUCCCAAGCUUCUCCAGUCGAAAUGAGGUCACCAUCACCUUAUUGUGGACACCCUUCCUUCCCUUCACAGAUGCCUGCUGUGGCCACCCGUGUCCAAUGUGUGUUCUGGCGACAUCAGCAGGUCCUGGGGAGAAGCUACUCAGGAAGAACCAGGUGUGGGAUAACGUGUACAAUUGCCCCUUUCCUAUGAACCUCUUUGGAUGCAAAUAGACAAUUCUACAGAGGAUGAAGGCAGGGCCCAGGGACAGAAGCUGAACCUUAUUUAAAACUGACAAGGAGAUGUCUGUAUUUGUUUGGAGUGGGGAGUGCAGGGCAGGGGGCACGGCGGUGAGGUGUGUGCUGGUCUGUGUGGCCUGGGAGGGUGCAGAGCAGACAAGGCCACUGGUGCCACAUCCACCACAAGCCGAGGAGCCCAAAUCGGCCUACCCUGAGGCAGCACCUCAGGUGCUGGAGGAGAGUCAGCCCAAGCGAGGAGUCCCGAGGGCUGCCUCUUCUGAAGAAGGGCCAUGGGGGUGGGCAUACAGAGUGCAGAGAGUCAGCAGGGUAACCAGCCUCAAUACAAGCAGAAGAUGAGAUCAGAGAGGGUGGCUGGAGCUGGGGGAGUCUGAGGGAAGGAAAUGACUACAGGAGAAACAGAUGCAAUUGAGCAAGACUCCUGGAGAUGGAUUUCCCUGCCUUGGUCCAAACUCAAAUCCCUGUGCUCAGAUUAAUUAGCAAGGAAAUAUUUUCCUGUCUGCAGAAAAAGGCUGCCGGAUUGCCAGUGGGACGUGAGGGUGGGCAGUCUAUCAAAUAACUACUAAUUAGGUUACUUCCCACUGCUGUUGACAUGCUGGGGACAUGUUCCUGGACCAAAAUAAAAGGGGGAGGAGGGGAGAGGAACAGAAGCAGAGAAAGAAGAGCAUACCAGGUUCCUCUCAGCUCGCUUUAGAAAACCUCAGCUGGAAUUAGGAAGGAAGGGAUCCAAAGCCCAAAGAGGGGGUGGCAGAGGAGAAAUGGUGUGCUGCCUGGAGACACCCGUGCCAAGACCUGUACUCACACUUGUAUUUCAUUGUCUCCUACAAGUGAUCCAAAAGCGCACACAGCUGAGGCUGUCACUGGGGAGGCCUGGGAAGGGCAGUGUCGAUGCAGCAGGAAUUUGCGUGAUGCAAGUAAUGAUGGGAGAUGUUCAUUGGGGUUUACUAUCUGCCAGGAACUGUCUUCCUAAGUACUUCCUUCACUCAGGCACUCAACAGAUGUGAGACGGGAGCUAAGAGAUUAGCAUACAUUUGCCUCAUUUAUCCUCACAACUAUAAGGAAGACAUUUUAGCUCUUUAUUAUAGAUAUGGAAAUUAGAGCCCAGAGAGGUUUAAUAAUUCAUCCAUAUCACACAGCAAGUAAGAAGUUAUGAAGCUCAGUUUUGAACCAAGAUCUGCCUGACUCCAGCCCCACCUGCCCCUAAUCUCUGCUUAUAGAUAAUGCACACUUGCUAAUACACAGUCUCUUCUUUCUUGUUCCUUUGCCUGAGAGUCCUAACUCCUUCCUGAAGUUCCCAAGGUGUAUUCUUCAAUACAUCACACACACACAGGAACUGUAUCUGUAUUGCAAAGCUCCAGUUUCCCUGAGGUCCGAGACUUUGAGGUCUGGUAGUGACCUUGAGGUCAUUGUCUAGUUUCUUUAGCCAGAAACUAAACUGGAACCGUGUCAGACGGAUGGACAUUCAUCUAAUUGCAGAGAUCAACAAAGCACAGUAGUACCACCACUUCCAUGGACAACACCAUGAGCCAUCUUCAUUGUGCCCAUGUGGCAUCUGUCCGUUUCGUCCUUGGUAGAGACCAGGCAGGUGAAUCAGCUGGUGUGGGCAUCAUGGCCCUCAGCUGUCCCUUCCGCUGAUGGUCCAUUCUCUUCUCUCCACCCUAUCCUUGAAAGCAGAGUUGAACUACAGUGUGGUCCAUAUCUCUCCACAGUGAGUAUCUCUUCUGGUGAGUUCUGAUCUUCAGUGGUGGUGUGUAUCUUUUCCACCUUCAAAGUUCUCUCUUGUCGCACUCAUCCUUCAGUUAAAGUAGCCCUUUAUGGCCAUGGUAGACUGAGUAUAUUUUGAAUCCAAGGACUGCAUCUUUGCACAUUUGUGUCUCUUGCACUUAGAAUCAUAGCGGAGUCCUGGUAAUCAGUGUCCCAAGAAUGACUGCUGAAUGAGAGUGAAGCCUUAACGAUUCUUGUUGGCUCUCAUCCAGCCUGCCUCUAAAUGCCUUCCUAGUUUUAAUGCUGGCCCUAGAACCCCCCUAGAAGGACCAACACAUCUAACUGUCCCAAGCCCAGUAGAAAGAAAGAUGACAGCACCCUCAAGAUGCUGUCUCAUCCUGCAGGCAUCCAGGCUCCCUCUCAACCUGAAAAGAGCAGAGAUGUCAAACACGUGGCGCUCCUGCCAGACCAAGAUCAGGAUGAAGGGGCUGCUGCUCUUGAUCAAGGCCCUUUGGAAGCAGAUCCAGGCCUGAGGGCCUGGGCACGGGAUGCCCUGGGAGGGCAUGGGGGAAGCAGCACAAGCGGGGAUGAAAGAGUGCCCCGGAAAACCUACUUCCCUGGAGCAGGUCCUGUGUGAGCCAGAGAAACCUCCCUACAGAGGGGUGAGCUGGCAGAGCAAGUGGGUUACCUAAAAAUAAAAUUGAGAAGAAUGAGUCUCUAAACUUUAGUGUUUUAAACAUGUACAAGAGGGAGAAGGUGAUCAGGCUCUCCUCAUAUCUGAAAGCACUUAGCUAUAAAAUUAAGCAAGCACAGUCAGGCUAUCUACAUCUAAGUUUAAAUUCAUGAUUACAUCCAAAUAUGUUUGAAGUGCACCAUACAUGGUCUUUUGCUAUUUUAUAAGGGAAUGGCUCUAUUUCUUUUAUUUUAUAUUCUAGAAUAAAAACAUAUUUGUUAUUUCAACCAGAUGCAAAUUUUAACUAUGGGUAACUUAUCCCAUCCCACUUGUUAUCCUAAAUGAAAAGCAAAGAUAAACAAAUUUCUCACCAAGCCUAUCACCUUUCUGCCUCAACACAUGGGUUUAUUUUCAUUUCUUUUCUUCAGAACCAGGUAUCUCCCUUUAUACAAUUCGCUUUCUUUCAUUUUUUAACUUGUAAACCUACAAAAUUUAUUUUUCUAGGAUGAAGAAGGAAAAAGUCAAUUGAAAUUAUUCACUCUGUUGCAAGUACAGGUAUUCAUAAAAGAGUGGGCUGGCUUCCCACGACAGGAGCUGGUCCUCUGCAGUUUUUGUCUCGGCAGCUGCACGCAGUUUGAUUAUUUCUCACUCACCAGAGGAAAGAAUCAGAGCGUUCACCCCUACCUGGGACUCCAGGAAAGCAGGCAGAUGUGGCUUGGGGAUAAGGAGAGAUGGUGCCAGUUUAUCAUACCUGAGUCUGAUGGAAAUGGAAUCACUGAAAGUCUGAAAUGAAAUUCACACCAUAGGUUGGGAGUACUGUGUCCUCAGUCACAAAGAGACACAGACAGGGGACUGUCAGCUGGUGCCGGAGGAGCUGAGCGACAAGUCCUCAGCCACUGGAAACACCUGAGUGACCAGUCCACGGCCGCCCAUUCUCCAGCCAGCCCAGGCAUAUGCCUCCUUCCCGAAGCCUCCCUAGUGAUGACACCCAGCCGGAAGGAAAGCAACCCUGUUCCAUACUGUAUGUUGAGCAUCUGUGGCUGAUCCUCACCGGUGUCCACACACCUGAAGCAUACACCAGUCACAUCUGCCCUCGGAUACCUACAGGAUGCUCAGAAGCUCCUUGCACCCCCACUCACUAGCAGGUCCCAACACCUGCCUGCACUCUGCCUGCUAAAACCAAACAGAUUUGAGACACAGAGGGACCCUGCGCUCAUGGGACCUGCCUAUGUCCACAGUCCCCUGAUGCCACUUUAGGAGAUAGUAAAAGUCCAACUUUGGACUUGAGCAAGUCUGGCUUUGAGUUCCAGCUCCACUGCUCAUUAGC